AUGCAAGAGAAGAAAGUUGUUGCUUAUACCUCUCGCCAGUUGAAACCUAAUGAGAAGAACUACCCCACUCAUGAUCUCGAGUUGGCGGCAGUUGUGCACGCUUUGUUGACUUGGAGACAUCUUCUAUUGGGAAGGAAAGUGGACAUUUUCACUGAUCACAAGAGUCUCAAGUACAUCUUCACUCAGCCUAAUCUCAACCUCAGGCAGACUCGAUGGGUCGAAAUGAUUCAAGAGUACAAUCCGAGUAUCGAGUAUACUCCAGGCAAGGCUAAUGUGAUUGCUGACGCUUUGAGCAGAAAAGCAUAUUGCAACAGUCUGAUUCUCAAGCCUUAUCAACCCGAGCUUGUGAAGCUUUCCGCAAACUUAAUCUGCAAGUUGUUCCUCAAGGUUUCCUCGCCAACCUUCAAGUCUCUCCUACCUUAG
rnacentral:rRNA from 1 species